UACUUGGCUUUAGGCUCCCCAGCAACCUCUGGAGCCAGCUUAAUAGGUUCAUGUGUGGUGUGGUUUGCUGUGCCAAGGACGACCAUGCCUGGGGCAUCCAGGGCUCCCCACUGUGUAUGUGUGGUGCUGUGAAGGAUGCUCUACAUGUCCUGGAUGGUUGCUGUUUCCAUGUUGGGCUCCCUGGAGGUUUUCUCAGGCUGAACACUGCUGACUCAGAGGCCAUUGAUUGGCUCAUUUAGCUUUUAUUUUACCUUGCUUAUAUAUAUAUAUAAUCUUCUUCUAUCCAAGCUCUUAAUCACUAAUGAAAUAAGGCUCACAACAAGCCUAUGAACUAGGUCAGUACUGUUAACUAGAUAAGUAUUCCCCAUUUUACAUAUGGGGAAACCAAGGCAGAGAGGUUUAGUAACUUGCCCAUGGUCACAGAGUAGGUCUGUCGCAGAGCCAAUAAUAGAACUGAUCUCCUUACCUCCAGUGCUUUAGUUACCAGACCUUGCUUCCCUUCCUUUACCUUGGAAUAUUUUAAAAAGUGAUGCAUACUAUCAGGCUGCAGCACUGUGGAGAAUGCACACCAAUUCACCAUUGCAACCAAACCAAAAUGAUCCUUUCUCCCACGCUUCCAUGCCACAUCCUAAAUCUUUUAAGCUCUUGCCCCAUGCUGCAACAGGUACAAAAGCUCCCUUCAAUUGCAAAAAUAUCUGUGUGAUCCAGUUGGUGGUAAUGUACCUCUAAUCAGGAACUUGCUCCAAUGCACUAACACCCUUUGCUGUCUCUGAGAUAGGGUUAACAUCACGGAGGACAUGACCAAGAGAGUUAAUCCUGAUCUGCUUAAUAUGCUAGGAUGACAAUUUUCAGAGCAUCAACCUAUGAAGGAGAUCACUUUGUAGAUUGUUGAACUUUCCAAAACUUUGGGUUCCAUAAUGACUAUUAAGUCCAUGUGACUCGAGUAGCCUUGAAAUGGAAUUGAAUAGGAUUCCUUGUUCCUUUUCAAAACAAAGACCUUUUUACAUAA